GACGAACGCUGGCGGCGUGCUUAACACAUGCAAGUCACGGGGGGUCGCAAGACCAACCGGCGAACGGGUGCGUAACACGUGAGCAACCUACCGAUUUGAGGGGGAUAGCUGGCCUAACGGCCAGGUAAUACCGCAUACGCUUGUAAAGCCUCCUGGCUUAACAAGGAAACCUCCGGGGCAGAUCGAGGGGCUCGCGGCCUAUCAGCUAGUUGGUGAGGUCAUAGCUCACCAAGGCGACGACGGGUAGCUGGUCUGAGAGGAUGGCCAGCCACAUUGGGACUGAGAAACGGCCCAGACUCCUACGGGG
rnacentral:rRNA from 1 species